rnacentral:misc_RNA from 1 species
GAUGAAGAACGCAGCGAAAUGCGAUAAGUAAUGUGAAUUGCAGAAUUCAGUGAAUCAUCGAAUCUUUGAACGCACCUUGCACCCUUUGGUAUUCCGAAGGGUAUGCUCGUUUGAGUGUCAUUGUACUCUCACACUUCUAAUUCCUUUCGGGAUUGGGAGCGGUGGACUUGGGUGUUGCUGCUUUAGUUGUGGCUCACCUCAAAUAAGUUAGUGCAACUCUUGGUUGGACAUAGUACGGCGUGAUAAGUGUCUUCGCCGGCGCCUCUGUAAGGAGGGUGGCCGAUCGGGAGCUCUGUGCUUCAAACCGUCUUCGGACAAUCUCUGACAACUUGACCUCAAAUCGAGUAGGACUACCCGCUGAACUUAAGCAUAUCAAUAAGCGGAGGA